rnacentral:rRNA from 1 species
UGGGGAAUAUUGCACAAUGGGCGCAAGCCUGAUGCAGCCAUGCCGCGUGUGUGAAGAAGGGCUUCGGGUUGUAAAGCACUGUCAAUCGUGAAGAAAGUAGUGUAGCUAAUAGCUGCUUUAGUUGACGUUACCGACAGAAAAAGCACCGGCUAACUCCGUG